UUGCACAUUUUUAGUACAACGACGUUUUUAGGUUUGUCUCAAACAUAAGUUUUUGCGGAUGGCAAGGACUUUAAUUGAUCUAGCAACUGAAUCGAUAUGGAUGACAGUUCUGUAAUCCAAUCAGAAUCAACUGUCAACAAGGGUUGUUGCCAGUAUACAAAUAUCCAUGAUUUUCAUGAUGUUAAUUAAUUUAGAAUUUAAAAUAAAAAUUUGAUUUAAUAAGUUAGGAAGUUGCUAGAACAUGGUUAGAAAAUUAGGUGGAAUUUUACACACUAGAUAUUUUAGUCAUUUGAAAUUUAUUACAGCAAACGAUUGCUGAGGUUGUCGUUCUAUUUGGUAUCCCCAAGCCUCCCAAGGUCGUUAGGAUUUUGAGAUCAUUUCCUCCACACUUGUUAGCUGGCUCCGGUACAGGUCGUAGGCCUCCAGUGGCUACUUUAUGAUAUCGCGGAUCAUCUAUGAUGUGAAGCAGGAAUCCAAAUUAUGGAGCAGCAAGAGUCCUUUUCUGCAGGGCCUCAAGGGUCCUCAGAAUUGUAUUUUCACCAUGAACUGUGAGUAGAGUUCAGUUGAAUAAUAUUGUGUUAACUUCUUUGUGUGAUCUUGGCUUUGUCAAGUUUUGACCAUGUGUCUCUGUUUCCAGUCUCCUGAUGGUUUAUGUGGCGGGAAGGGUUUGUCAGAGCUGCGAAUGAUGAGGCUUCUCAAGUUCCAGCUGGGGGUUUCGGUGAAGAGGAUGCUUGCCGGAGGCUGAAGCUUUGGUUGCGGUGGUGCUCUUUUGAAUGACUGUGCCUGGGGCGACCACUUCGGCUCACUGAAGGAUGGCUUGCAUGUGCAGCGGUAACUUCUGGCUUGAAGGUUGGUGGCAUUUCUCUUACCUGGAAGCAAAUGCUAAGUUUAGGUAAAUUUAGUUUCUAUCAUGUAUGUUGGCACUGAUACUUAGGGACUAACCAGUUUUAGGCAAUGCUUGUAAAUCACUCAGAACCAUAUUUGCACGGCCCAGCUCUAUCGUCUGGCAAUGUUAAUUUAGGAUAAGGUGCUAAGCUUAAGCUUUUAUUGCUGAUUUACAAGCUGUACUUUGCAUUGUGUCCAUUUAGAGAAAUAAAACUGUGUGUCACAA